UACGUAGGGGGCAAGCGUUGUCCGGAUUUAUUGGGCGUAAAGAGCGUGUAGGCGGCCUGACAGGUCUGCUGUGAAAACUCGAGGCUCAACCUCGAGAUGUCGGCGGAAACCGUCUGGCUAGAGUCCGGAAGAGGAGAGUGGAAUUCCUGGUGUAGCGGUGAAAUGCGCAGAUAUCAGGAAGAACACCUAUGGCGAAGGCAGCUCUCUGGGACGGUACUGACGCUGAGACGCGAAAGCGUGGGGAGCGAACGG
rnacentral:rRNA from 1 species